rnacentral:piRNA from 1 species
UACAAGGAUUUGACGAAGCUAUGGCUCC